AGAGUUUGAUCAGUGGCUCAGGACGAACGCUGGCGGCACGCUUAACACAUGCAAGUCGAACGGUGAAGUAGAGCUUGCUCUGCGGAUCAGUGGCGGACGGGUGAGUAACACGUGAGCAAUCUGCCUUUAAGAGGGGAAUAGCAACUGGAAACGGUUGGUAAUACCGCAUAAUAUACAUUUACCGCAUGAUAGAUGUAUCAAAGAUUUAUCGCUUAAAGAUGAGCUCGCGUCUGAUUAGCUAGUUGGUGAGGUAACGGCCCACCAAGGCGACGAUCAGUAGCCGGACUGAGAGGUUGAACGGCCACAUUGGGACUGAGACACGGCCCAGACUCC
rnacentral:rRNA from 1 species